GGUAGGGAUGGAGGGAGGUGGGAAUGCUUGCACUCGGUGAGGCUUAAUUACACAUCGGAUAUCAUUUUUUUUGUCGCCAAUCGCAAAGCGUACGGACGCUGAAAUAAUCAGCGCGCUAAUUGAAGCCACGGCGCUGUCCUUGGCAUUAGGGACCUCGCUUUGCAGGAUUGGCACUCGUGGGCAGUGCCAGUGAAGGCAGAGGAGUUGUCACGCGGGCCCGCGCCUUUCAAGGCCCGCGUAGACAACGCGACCCGUGGCAGGUCACGGCGUUCCAUGCCACGAUCCGUCUGCCUCGCGAGCCGAUGGCACCGCGGCAGCGCCACGCUCUCGCUGGCAUCUGGACACGGGGACCGUUCUCUGGCCGGCGCUUUCUGCCGGAUUUGUGCCGCUGGAUCAGGAGCGACGUGUGGAGGAACAAAACGUGGCCAAGGAUUUUAAGGCAUUGACUGGUGGAGGGAGAAGGAGCACACGAGGAGCGAGCAAGCGGCCACUUCUGGGAUGUUGUUGUGAUGCUUCCGUGGACCUGCCGGCGAUCAGGCUGCAGAGCCUUCUUGCCGAAAACUUCUUCAUUCCGAUGGAAUCUGCCACACAGUGAUUGCAAGCCAAGUAAUGAAUAGCUUUCCACCCACAGUUAUGUGGAAUGCGCAGGUCACCGGCAGGAUGCCCCCAGACCGCAUGGGCACCAGAGAGGCGGACGCGACCGGGAACGCGAGCACAGCCCCGCCGAGUGCCACCGCCGCCGCCGCCGGCCUCCACGCUCCCCUGCCGGCUCCCAACGCGGGCGCCGGGGCCCGCGUGGAGGAGGGAGAUGGCAGGAGAGCGGAGGAGAGCAAAGAGGAGUCGAUACUGGCCGCUCUCGGGAUUGUGGGCACCGUGCUCAACCUCCUGGUCAUUGUCUUUGUCUACAUCUACACUGCCACGUGAGGUUCUCCGCGCCUUCAGCCCCCGCGCUGUGGACGUACGGUACUGUGAGCGGUGGCCUCGCCUGCUCAGCUGCGACUUCUUUGGCGACUUUACGGUUCGGCUCCUUCAGCGCGUGGAUUUGAAACUCCGUUUCAGAAGCAAGUUGGCAGUACUUAUAAUGUGUAUGUCUUCUUCGGCUUUCCCUGCGAGAAAACUCACCUCGUGUUUUUGUCCAAAUUUUAGUUUAACGAUCUUUCUUUUGCUUUUUUUUGUUGUCUUUCAUUUGAAAUGUCAGGCCCUGUUUUGAGGCCAGGUGCAUCAACCUCCCGAUUGCACUCGACACGGUAGCAAGUCCUCGUACGGUAAAAUCAUCAACAAUUUACAAGCACAAAAUGAGAAAUGUUCCAAUUUUUUUCAAGUUUCUGAAAUGUAUACAACGAGCCAUUUGCCCCACCACGCGCCACGUAAAUUGCCUAUUGUCGUGAAAACAGUUACAGGAUCUCGAUCGUCGGCUUGUAGUCCCUACACAAAGACGGUGUGCUCACACAUUACGCGCUUGCUACACCACAAGGAGAUUGCGCGCUUUAAAACAAAUGUUUGGCAACAAGUUGUGUUGCAAAAUUAAAAUCCGUGCUAUUUUAUCAGUACAGAAAUGAAGACGCAGAGUGUUAAUCGUUCUGCUGCCAGUGGAACUGUGCUUCGGGCAGGGCCCAGAGUAAACGGUUUUUUUUUGCAUUUAAAAUGUGAUUAUUUUGAACACAAAGUUUACAGAGCUGCCUUUUUUGUUUCCAUGGAGAUGUGUGUCCAUCACAUGAUCAGUCCGAAGUCAUUUCAGAUGUACCUGUGUGGAGCUUGUGUGGACAUACUGCCAGCAUACACGAUUAGGAGUAUGGAGCCAUUUACUGAAAGUGGCUUUGUUCUUCAAGACCCCAAUUAACGAAAUGGAAACACUAUUAAGAUUUUUGUAUAUCAUGUGGUGAAAUGUAGCUUUAAAUUAGUAUAUAGUCUUUAUAUCCAGUUAAUGUGUAAUAAGACAUUCAUGAGAACAAUUACUACGUUCAUAAUCGUUGGGAGACAGUUGUAUGACAUUGCUGUUUGAAAUAAAACAUUAUGUUUGCUUAAUAGCGUUUUUUUAUAAUGGAGCCUCACAUUUCCAGUGAAAUGCCAAAGUGCAGAAUGCAUUGUAACAACUUCACAAACUUUUUCCAUGUCAUUGUUACCUUCAACAGAAAAUUACUUCAUUGGAUAAUCAUUAAUGUCUGCGGUCAUAUGUUGUCAAAUAAACUUACUUUGUAACGUCUUCUAAAUUGAGGUUUUGUAAAAAAAAACAGCUAAGAGCACGACAUUUAAAUGCAAGUCCUUCCAGAUGUUUAAGUCUCGUGUUACCAACUCCAGACAGAGGAGACUUUUGUUUUGGAUCGGUGUUGUCUCCACUGAUCUGAGGACGCACAGCUCACGUAAAUUUAAUAUAAAUAAAUACGCGAAAUAAAUAAAUGCGUGCGGUAGAGCUGGGCAAAGUUGUCGAUUAAAACGACGAAUCUACGACAAAAGUACCAUCAACUAUUUUGGUUGUGUUCGGCUAUCAAGACCCUUACAAGCCAUGUCGAGCACGAUGCGGCUGACGACAUUACCAAGCCCCGCAACUAACCUCCCGUCCAGUGGCACAUGUGAGAAACAGGAGAUUACACGCAAUCGAACUGACAGUUGUGGGAGCAGUCCAUUACUUGAAUAAUCAGAAAGCCCCGCUCUACACUACAGUGCGUGUAUAAUGUUUAAUUUGACUUUGUUCUUUGGUCGACAGCGUUAACAUUCGCCACACGCUCAUUAUCUCUUAGCAGACAGAGAGUGCAGAAUAUUGCGCUGCAAUGCUAUGAUGGAGUUAGUUAGGUUGGCCACCAGUCCAGCAUCAUUAAACCCGGUGCUGUCUUCAAGUGAUACAGACAAGGGCAGGGGGUGUGACAGUUCUGUGCUCUGAUGUAGCGCCGGGCUUGACAUCCAAUGCCUUGGGGCAUGGUCCUCCUGGUUUAGUGCUGAGAGGUCACCUCAGCUGUAUUUAUUCACUGGGAUGGGAGCUGGUAAGAGAACACACAUUUAAACAUUGUGCACGUUCAUGAGGUAAUUACAGCAUCCAACAGGAUGCGUCUGCCCAUUUCCUCAUAAUGGAAGGGACAAAAGUGGUCUUGGGACUUUCAAAAAGUCGGCAAUAUUCAACAUGAUUUCCGAAGUAAAUUUUCCCAAAUAAUAGGACCUCUUCUUCCAGGGAUUGUAUCGGUUACAAGCUUGAUGUGGUGAUAAUAUAAUUCAGAGGUUCUAGUGCGACGAAAAAAUGUGCAUAUUUUGGUAAAUUAAUUUCGACAAAGAAAGCUCUGACAUCUGAGAUGGGUUAAUGGUUUCAAAUUGGAUACAGUUUAACCCGAAAAGAGUUUAUUAGUAAAAAUACUACAGCUACCUUGUGUCAAUUUCCUGCAAUUGGAUGUGCAUAUUAAAAGUUCGCGUUUGUGGUUUAGUACUUUAAAAUAAAAUAUAUAUUUACGCUUUCACCAAAUGUAUUACAAACAACAUAAUGUGCUCGAUUCAUCGGUGAUAAAAUACCUGAAGCCAUAAUAGGCCAUCACGUCAAAGUAAAUGUCAUCGGCCUUGGACAAUCCACUGCUGGAUGAAGGGCACCCUCACGCCGCCGCUAUCUCUCGUGAUCCUGUGGUGUAACAAUUGAUCUCCCCAACUCUUGCGAAAUAAACUGAUUUCAUUGCUGCAUCAAAAAUGUAUACAUUAGAAUAUAUUUACAAAGAGUUAGAAUGAGAUUCACCGCAUUCUAUUCAUUGCAAUGGACCAAUAGUGCUAAUUAACUCCUGUGUAAUUCUCAUAGACAUGCGCGGCACUCAUUUGAAUUCAAUAUCAGUUCCACUAUUAAAUAUAAAAUGCGCCGCUCACAUGCACACACACCGACGCGCUCGAGAACAAACACCGGCGGUCGGUUUUCAUUGUCACUUUAAGAAUGCGUGUUUUACAUCGGUAAUUAAAAACCGCACACGCUACUAAUUUGAAUGCAAUUCCGCGCAGUGCGACAUUCAUUUUGGUCUUCUUAGCUUUUUACUAUUCCUUGACGUGGAGCGGCCGCGUUGAAGGCGUCCUGCUGAGUCCAUUCACCCCUCCCCGGCUCGUCUCUUUUUGUCCGCGUUGUUCGUGAAACCCACUUGGGUGCAGCGUGUUGGCCUCUUGCUCUAACCCGAACCCUUGUAUCCGUGGGUACAGACAUGUUUGGGCAUAUUUUAUUUUACCAACGGGGGGGGUAGUGGGGGCUGUGCACCACUUUAUUUCAUUCUGGGGAAAGCAACGGUGUGAACCCAUCGACACUUCACUCAUUGCCGUGGCGGUGGUGGCUGAGUGCUAAAUAGAGAUGGCACGUGGCCACUUCCUUCGGCUCUCGCCAUCUUCAAGGUUAUUCCACUCGAUGGCAAAGGCACCGAGUGGCAGUGUUGCGCUUCCGAGGAAUGUCACUCUGCCUCCGCUGCGCGGUGGAAUUGCAUCGAAUACUUAUGUAGAUGACCAUUCUAACCAUUGUGGCGGUCAACAGUCGUUGUUCUUUGGAGCAAAUGACUCCUGUCACGGGAAUGUGGAAUUUAAUUGUGUUAUUGUUUUGAUUUAAAGCUUUCGU